UACGUAGGGGGCUAGCGUUGUCCGGAAUCAUUGGGCGUAAAGCGCGUGUAGGCGGUCCGGUAAGUCCGCUGUGAAAGUCGGGGGGCUCAACCCUCGAAUGCCGGUGGAUACUGUCGGGCUAGAGUACGGAAGAGGCGAGUGGAAUUCCUGGUGUAGCGGUGAAAUGCGCAGAUAUCAGGAGGAACACCAAUUGCGAAGGCAGCUCGCUGGGACGUUACUGACGCUGAGACGCGAAAGCGUGGGGAGCGAACAGG
rnacentral:rRNA from 1 species